GCCCAAGUAGCACAAUGGUAGUGCGUUGCUUUCCUAUUCUUCAUGAGUACUGAGAAGGCAAAGGUUGUGGGUUCGAUCCCCAUCUUGGGUU